rnacentral:rRNA from 1 species
GACGAACGCUGGCGGCGUGCUUAACACAUGCAAGUCGAACGGAGUGGCGAACGGGUGAGUAACACGCGGGUGACCUGCCCUGCCCUUCGGGGUAAGCCUGGGAAACUGGGUCUAAUACCGGAUAGUGUGGGAUGGGGGCGGGGCCUCUCAGCUGGUUGGUGGGGUAAUGGCCUACCAAGGCGGAGACGGGUAGCCGGCCUGAGAGGGUGGACGGCCAAAUUGGGACUGAGACACGGCCCAGACUCCUACGGGAGGCAGCAGUGGGGGAUAUUGCACAAUGGGCGGAAGCCUGAUGCAGCGACGCCGCGUGGGGGAGGACGGCCUUCGGGUUGGAAACGCCUUUCACCAUCGACGCGGUAGAUGGAGAAGAAGCACCGGCUAACUACGUGCCAGCAGCCGCGGUAAUAC